UAUGGAGAGUUUGAUCCUGGCUCAGAGUGAACGCUGGCGGCGUGCCUAAUACAUGCAAGUCGAACGAUGAAGCUUCUAGCUUGCUAGAGUGCUGAUUAGUGGCGCACGGGUGAGUAACGCAUAGGUUAUGUGCCUUUUAGUUUGGGAUAGCCAUUGGAAACGAUGAUUAAUACCAGAUACUCCCUACGGGGGAAAGAUUUAUCGCUAAGAGAUCAGCCUAUGUCCUAUCAGCUUGUUGGUAAGGUAAUGGCUUACCAAGGCUAUGACGGGUAUCCGGCCUGAGAGGGUGAACGGACACACUGGAACUGAGACACGGUCCAGACUCCUACGGGAGGCAGCAGUAGGGAAUAUUGCUCAAUGGGGGAAACCCUGAAGCAGCAACGCCGCGUGGAGGAUGAAGGUUUUAGGAUUGUAAACUCCUUUUGUUAGAGAAGAUAAUGACGGUAUCUAACGAAUAAGCACCGGCUAACUCCGUGCCAGCAGCCGCGGUAAUACGGAGGGUGCAAGCGUUACUCGGAAUCACUGGGCGUAAAGAGCGCGUAGGCGGGAUAGUCAGUCAGGUGUGAAAUCCUAUGGCUUAACCAUAGAACUGCAUUUGAAACUACUAUUCUAGAGUGUGGGAGAGGUAGGUGGAAUUCUUGGUGUAGGGGUAAAAUCCGUAGAGAUCAAGAGGAAUACUCAUUGCGAAGGCGACCUGCUGGAACAUUACUGACGCUGAUUGCGCGAAAGCGUGGGGAGCAAACAGGAUUAGAUACCCUGGUAGUCCACGCCCUAAACGAUGGAUGCUAGUUGUUGGAGGGCUUAGUCUCUCCAGUAAUGCAGCUAACGCAUUAAGCAUCCCGCCUGGGGAGUACGGUCGCAAGAUUAAAACUCAAAGGAAUAGACGGGGACCCGCACAAGCGGUGGAGCAUGUGGUUUAAUUCGAAGAUACACGAAGAACCUUACCUAGGCUUGACAUUGAGAGAAUCCGCUAGAAAUAGUGGAGUGUCUGGCUUGCCAGACCUUGAAAACAGGUGCUGCACGGCUGUCGUCAGCUCGUGUCGUGAGAUGUUGGGUUAAGUCCCGCAACGAGCGCAACCCCCUUUCUUAGUUGCUAACAGGUCAUGCUGAGAACUCUAAGGAUACUGCCUCCGUAAGGAGGAGGAAGGUGGGGACGACGUCAAGUCAUCAUGGCCCUUACGCCUAGGGCUACACACGUGCUACAAUGGGGUGCACAAAGAGAAGCAAUACUGCGAAGUGGAGCCAAUCUUCAAAACACCUCUCAGUUCGGAUUGUAGGCUGCAACUCGCCUGCAUGAAGCUGGAAUCGCUAGUAAUCGCAAAUCAGCCAUGUUGCGGUGAAUACGUUCCCGGGUCUUGUACUCACCGCCCGUCACACCAUGGGAGUUGUGUUUGCCUUAAGUCAGGAUGCUAAAUUGGCUACUGCCCACGGCACACACAGCGACUGGGGUGAAGUCGUAACAAGGUAACCGUAGGUGAACCUGCGGUUGGAUCACCUCCUU
rnacentral:rRNA from 1 species